CCGGUCUGUGUUUGUGUUACUAGAUUUCUGCUUUGUAUCGAUCUGAUGAGUUAAGCUUUUUUCAGAUGAUUUUUAUAGUUUGUUUAUAUGAUUUUCUGUUACAUCGCUGCUCCAGGUAAGGAAAGGGUUGGGAGCCCUCUAACAUGUUUGAACCCGCCUGAUUAUAUAUGUGUCUGUCGUUGUGGUUGUCUUUUGUUGCUGUAUAUCAU
rnacentral:lncRNA from 1 species